GACAGAGGUGCCGAGCGUUAGGCGGAAUCACUGGGCUUAAAGCGUGUGUAGGCGGACCGUUAAGUACCUUGUGAAAUCCCACGGCUCAACCGUGGAACGGCUGGGUAUACUGGCGGUCUUGGGCCACUCAGGGGCGAGCGGAACAAGUGGUGGAGCGGUGAAAUGCGUAGAUAUCAUUUGGAACGCCAAUGGUGAAAACAGGUAGCUGGGGCUGUGCUGACACUGAGACACGAAAGCCAGGGGAGCAAACGGG
rnacentral:rRNA from 1 species